CUUCAGCGAGCCGAGCCACAACGGGUCACCCGCACGCUCCCGCCCGUACGUCGCCAGCAACGCACCCGCCUC
rnacentral:antisense_RNA from 1 species